UUAAUUAAUUGGCUUGCAUAUUUAUAGGCCCAAAUUAAUUAAUUGGAUUAAUUAGUUCACGGAUCGGAUUUAAUUAAAUGAGUUAAUUAAAUGUUGAAUCGGGUCAGACCAAGCCCGUUUGGGCUUAUAUAAAUAUGAUUAGGGUUUUCAAAAUUGUGGUGAUUUUCAUUAUUCUUGCUAGCACAAAAAAACCCUAAUGCUGCAAUCUUGUUCUCUAUGUGGAUUAUCGUUGGAGGUUGGAUAAUUGGACAGCUGUGAGAGACAGAUCCAAGUUGCUAGAACAAAGAUAUGGCAAAGAAGUUUGCAGAUCUUGUAAAGGUACAUCUUUAUCAUAAUUUCUAUCUAAAUACAAAGGUGAUUCUUGGUAGGAAUCGAAAUCUAUUUUAAUUUUUCGCUGCGUAUGUUAAGUACAUUCCCAGCAAGGAGCAUGUCGAAGAAGGUGAUGAAGAAGAUUCAUCUCAAGGUGAAGAUGGGACAAUUUUUGACAUCUCAAAUGAGCCUUAAGGAAUCCUAUCUGGUGUUCUUGAAAGGAAUAGCAUCCAAAGGUGGGUUGAAUGGGCUUCCUCGAUACUAAUAUCAAGUAACCUCUAAUAUCAUUCAAGUGGAUUACUAGAUCCUAUUACCAGUUGUGUGCAGGCAAAUGUGUUUGGUAGUUUCUAAAACUUGACGUUUUGUCGACGCUGAUCGGGUAAAGUUUUUACUUGCCAUUAACAUACUUGCAGUUUG
rnacentral:lncRNA from 1 species